rnacentral:rRNA from 1 species
GACGAACGCUGGCGGCGUGCUUAACACAUGCAAGUCGAACGGAAAGGCCCUGCUUUUGUGGGGUGCUCGAGUGGCGAACGGGUGAGUAACACGUGAGUAACCUGCCCUUGACUUUGGGAUAACUUCAGGAAACUGGGGCUAAUACCGGAUAGGAGCUCCUGCUGCAUGGUGGGGGUUGGAAAGUUUCGGCGGUUGGGGAUGGACUCGCGGCUUAUCAGCUUGUUGGUGGGGUAGUGGCUUACCAAGGCUUUGACGGGUAGCCGGCCUGAGAGGGUGACCGGCCACAUUCGGACUGAGAUACGGCCCAGACUCCUACGGGAGGCAGCAGUGGGGAAUAUUGCACGAUGGGCGGAAGCCUGAUGCAGCAACGCCGCGUGCGGGAUGACGGCCUUCGGGUUGUAAACCGCUUUCGCCUGUGACGAAGCGUGAGUGACGGUAAUGGGUAAAGAAGCACCGGCUAACUACGUG